rnacentral:rRNA from 1 species
UACGGAGGAUGCGAGCGUUAUCCGGAUUUAUUGGGUUUAAAGGGUGCGUAGGCGGAUUGAUAAGUCAGUGGUGAAAUUCUACAGCUUAACUGUAACAGUGCCGUUGAUACUGGGGAGCUAGGAUUUGGUUGCUGUGGGUGGAAUGUGUGGUGUAGCGGUGAAAUGCUUAGAGAUCACACAGAAUAUCGAUUGCGAAGGCAGCUCACAAAGCCAAGAUUGACGCUGAGGCACGAAAGUGUGGGGAUCAAACA